ensembl:snoRNA SNORD15 Small nucleolar RNA SNORD15
CUUCAGUGAAGAUGUGAUGACGAGUCUGAAAAGGAGUAUCCAGGUCCAAGUACCUGCUCCAUGUCGUGUUCUACAGCAUGGAUUUGGGGGAGCUUGGCUCUGAGUGAGUGACUUGAGGCAUUUGUCUGAGAAGG